CUGGCGGCGUGCUUAACACAUGCAAGUCGAACGAUGAAGCUGGAGCUUGCUCCGGUGGAUUAGUGGCGAACGGGUGAGUAACACGUGAGCAAUCUGCCCUUGACUCUGGGAUAACUGCGGGAAACUGUAGCUAAUACCGGAUACGACACCUUGGGGCAUCCCAGGGUGUGGAAAGAAUUUCGGUCAAGGAUGAGCUCGCGGCCUAUCAGCUAGUUGGUGGGGUAAAGGCCUACCAAGGCGACGAUCCAUAGCUGGUCUGAGAGGAUGAUCAGCCACACUGGGACUGAGACACGGUCCAGACUCCUACGGGAGGCAGCAGUGGGGAAUUUUGGACAAUGGACGCAAGUCUGAUCCAGCCAUUCCGCGUGCAGGAUGAAGGCCCUCGGGUUGUAAACUGCUUUUGUACGGAACGAAAAGGUUUCCAUUAAUACUGGGAGCUCAUGACGGUACCGUAAGAAUAAGCACCGGCUAACUACGUG
rnacentral:rRNA from 1 species